AACGAACGCUGGCGGCAUGCCUAACACAUGCAAGUCGAACGAGACCUUCGGGUCUAGUGGCGCACGGGUGCGUAACGCGUGGGAACCUGCCCUUAGGUUCGGAAUAACUCCCCGAAAGGGGUGCUAAUACCGGAUAAUGUCUUCGGACCAAAGAUUUCUCGCCUUUGGAUGGGCCCGCGUUGGAUUAGCUAGUUGGUAGGGUAAAAGCCUACCAAGGCGACGAUCCAUAGCUGGUCUGAGAGGAUGAUCAGCCACACUGGGAAUGAGACACGGCCCAGACUCCUACGGGAGGCAGCAGUGGGGAAUAUUGGACAAUGGGCGAAAGCCUGAUCCAGCAAUGCCGCGUGAGUGAUGAAGGCCUUAGGGUUGUAAAGCUCUUUUACCCGGGAUGAUAAUGACAGUACCGGGAGAAUAAGCACCGGCUAACUACGUG
rnacentral:rRNA from 1 species